CCUCAGGGAGUGGGGGCUAGAUGAUGACUGGCAGUAGCCACUGAGGUACAUUUCUCAAUGGUGUAUAUUUGAUGAGCUCCUCCUAAGGAAAUCUUCUAACUCUGAAUAAUGCCAACCAGCAAAGUGGAGAUGUGGAAUAUAAUCCUUCAGCAUCCUGAGUCAAACUGAAAUGAAAAUGCUGGAGAUGGUUUUCUAAUAAGACAUUGUUUGAAUACUAAUUAUUUCUUGUUGAUGCAAAUUUAGAACCCUUUUCAACAAAGCACUUAAGCAACAGUCUCUGAGAAAACAUUCAUACAACAAUCUGGUUGUUUUAUUGUCUGAAUCUGUCAGGACAGUCAUUUUGUUACUCAAACAUUGUGAUCCCCUUGCAAGCUGUAAACUGUUUAAUGAGACCUUCUGAAUCAGUAACAUCUGUUCCUGCUGAUGGAAAAUAUCCCCUUGGCUACAGAGGGAUCACAGUCACAUGCUGCUGCUGCUGGAACGGCCUGUGUGAAUCAACAGCAAGAUAGAUUCAUCACUCUGCACCUAAUAGAUAUAACACCAAAAUGUAGCCAAGACAUUCCUGUCCAAAGUGGGAGGUAACAGCAUGUCCCCUAGUGGACCGCUGACAAAGAUUGAGUCAAACCUGCCAAAAUGUGAACCUGCUGUUCUAGGCAGACUAAGUAUUUCAAACCUGAUGCUCAACACAUAGAGCUCUUCCUUUUGACAAUUUCUUACAGAUGAUCAAUUAAUACCUGAGUAAUGCCUGGCACUAUUCAUUAAUAUGUGGUUAGAUGAAAAGAGGCAGAAUAGAAAACUGAGGCUUAAUAAAAUAUAUUUUAGAAUAGAUUUAAUUUAGAUUUGGUGCAUUGGUGUUCUGCUCAGUUCCAUGCUCUAGGUGCUUUACACUAUUUAUAUAAAGCAACUUCCUUAAAAUACCACGGCUCCCACAGACUCCUAUAGAUCAUAUAUAACACAAUCUUCUGUAAUAUCUUUCCAACUCCAA